AUCAAGAUUUACAAUCAUUAUUAAGCAAUAUUGAAUUUGCAAAAUGAAACGUAGAGGGAUAAGGCGGAGAAGAAGAAAGAGAAAGGAGAAAGAGUGCAUUGAGGCAGACCCCCAAUCAAUCAUAGCCGGAGCGGCGUCGGACGGCAGCAGCUGUUGUGGUGUGAUAACGAGAGAGAAAGGUGAGAAGGAGAAAGAGAGAAUCUCGGCGACAGCACAGUUGUGCGCUGGGUGAGACGGCGAGAGAGAUGCGGCGAUGCAGCACAGUGGGGCUAAUAGCUUUGACAUCAACGGCAGUGACGUGGCCUUGGGCACAUUCAAACAAGGUGCAUUCAGUCUCAUCUCUGUGUUUGUCUCUGUAUCUCAUCUCGGUGGGGUCAGACUGUAAGAGCUGGUUCUUCCAGUGGUGGUACUUUGGGGUCUGCUAUGGCAGCCUGUUGUGUCGGUGAUGUCGUAUAUUCAGGAUACGUUCGGGUGGGGGGUGGGGAUCGCUAUCCCAGCGCUGGCGAUGAUCAUGUCAUUGUCAUGUUUCUGUGUGGCGCCCGAUUUUUUUUGUGCAGAAGCAGGGCAGGAUUGGGGAUGUGAGCGUGUUUGAGGUCGCUGUCCGGGCUGUGAAAGCAGGAGUGUCGAAGCUGAUCUGUGGCGGGAGUGGCUUGUUGAGGAAUGAGUAUGCUGUGGUUGAGCUUGAGCUUGAGGAGAAAGCAGGGCUGUGCAGCCAAGAUCAAGAAAUCGGGAGCACGCGACAACAGGCAACUGUCGAGCCUCUGCAGCCUCUGGAGGAUGCAAAGGUUGUCAUGCUCUGAUUUUUAAGUUACAUGUUCUUUAUAUUUUACAGGCUUUUGAUAUUUGUUAAGAAGAUAGACUGCAAUGAGAUUUAUAGCAGGGUAGAUGGUUUCGAGGAAGUUAUUGAGACCUUGCAUUUCGGGAUGUCCACAAUCUAAAGAGGCCACCAAUUGUAUCAGACGAUUUAGGUGCUUCUUCAGUAUGUUUAUCAGCAAGAGAUGUUACUGCUUCAGUAUGUCUAUUAAGGAUAAGCAGGUAGACUCAUUAAUUUUGCACUAAGUAGAGUUGAAUACAGCCCUGCAAUCCAGCCAUUGAUGGACCUGCAAAGUCUCAACUUGUACAUGAAGUAGAUUUACUUGGUGAAAUUGGAUGAAUAGCAGAUAGUUUUCCUCACCUUUCCAUUGGAGAAGCAAUGGCAAUAGAUGUAUUGGCAGGGAAGAGUGACAGUGUAGAAGGCGUUCAGACAUUCUUUGGCAUGAAGUUUUAUGCACCCUUCAUUAGUGGGAAAAUAUGGACUGGCAGAACUUCUGUGCCUGCAGGAAGAGCUGGUUAAUCAGCUUCACAUGGCCUUAGUCCUUACAGAAACUCUACAGAAGCUUGGAUGUGAGACAGACUGGUUAAAAACUGGAUCACCUGCACGUGUCGAUUCUCACACAGUGGAUUCUGGAGCAUCAACGUGGAGAUGAAGAGGUUGCAUCACUUGCAUGUGAGGGUCGAAUCACCUUCAGGUCUUGUUUACCCACCCCACACUUCAUGGCCACCCAGCUUAAUUCUUAUGUAGACAAGGAGUCUCACCAAAUAUUAUAAAACCAGAAUGUUGCACUGUGCCUCAACUGUAUAUACAGGUCCUUGGAAAUUUAUAGUAGGUACAAUAUCUUCCGAAUAUGUUGUGAAUCAGUUAAAGAGGUUAGUUUUUGCAUAAAUGAUUUGGUUCGUGUUGUGUAUUUGAUGCUUCGUCCACCAUCUGUAUCAGGUGGACCCAUGAUUAGCUGAGAUAUGAGUUUACAUAUGCUAUUCAUUCAUGGAUAUGGUGUCAGUUAGAGAUUUUAGUUUUUGCAUUAAGUGGAUGAUUUAGGUUUGUGUGUGUGUGUGUGAAUUUGAUGCUUUGGCCACAAUUUGUAUCAGGUGGCCUCUCAUGAUUAGCUGAAAUAUGAGCUUACAUAUAUUUGUGCCUGGAGUGAUUCAUCUAGUUUGCUAGUUUUGUAUUUUCAGUAUGUUUAUCAGUUAGAGAUGUUAGUUUUUCAGCUAAUCAUUAUGCAGAUGAUUUAGGUUGA